CGUGGGGCAUAUAGCUCACCCCGUCUCCACACCCUGCUUCUAAAAGCAUGGUGGGUUCUCAGGCUGAGCUGUCUUCCUUGUUUACACUUUAAGAGGGCUUCUCCAGCUCACAGUGUUGAGUCAGACAGGAUAGUGGGAUUGUUCCCCCUUUCGGUGCAACUCUUUUGUUUUUGUUUUUUUUAUAGAAUCAAUAUCUCCUUUAUAUUUUUAUUUGUUUGAUUUUUGUGCAUCAACCCCUGGAUAAGUUCUCUUGUGUUGUAACAUGUCAGACAACUAAAUACAACAAUUUCCAGAGGCUGAACACAGCCAAUCAAUGAAUUCUAGAGACUUCUCUCCUACAACCUUCAAUCCUUUUACUCAAGGAGGACAUUGUUAUCUAAGGAUGCUGCACAGAUGCUGUUCUGGAACCUUCUUUCUCUAACUCCUGGAAUGUCUGUUGUCUCCCACAUCUUGUUUCCUGUAUCAGGCCUUCCUUCUCUCCAACAGCUUCCUCUUUCUUGCUGAAGCCAUUCUCCAGGAGUUUCCUGAGAAAGAGCACCAUAAAAGAUACUUUUUUUGAGCAUUUGAAUUUUUAAAUGAAUGUUAGGAUUGAUUGAUAGCAUGCCUGGGUCAAGUAUUUUAGGUUUGAAACUCCCCUGGGCAUUUUGAAGGCAUUUUUCGACUGCCCUCUGGCUUAUGGCGUGGUCUGUGAGACAGCUGAUGCUUCUUGACAUCUCCGUGGGCAGUUCUCCAAUGCUCGUUUGGUCGUCUCAGGAAGAUUUCAGGCUGCUGUGUUCCUCCAAUUCACUGAUGUGACGUGGUUUUUAAGCUGUUGAUUCUGCUACAACCUCCUUCAGACUGGAUAUUCUUACCCUUUAGUUUGGUGGCAUUUUUUAAAAACCUAUUUGUUUAUCCCCCUCCCCAAUCCUCCUGUCCCCUCUCUAGGACUUACAGAUAAUUCCAGUUUCUAACCAUGUAUUUAUAGGGCUGUUUGGGCCAGAAGACUCAUUUAAAAUAAGUAUGUUUGCUUACUAUGGAGAGAGAAGUCAGAAAUGAUUUAUCUCAUGCCUCUUGUUCUUACAAUGCAUUUAAAUGAAGACAUUGCCACUGGUCUCACGCACACACGUGGUUAGCUUUAAGGAUACAGUGUCUAGGAUGCCAUGGUUAUUAGUAAGGCGCCUACCUGCCUAUCUCUGUGCAGCAGGGUCUUCCUGGAACCACAACAAAAUCUUCCUCCUAGAGCUGUGAAUAUGAAAUAAGUCAUGGCACAUACACGGAGAGCCAAGAGGAUGCUCUGUGAACAGUAGUGUGCGCCUCCCAGCACUGUCAACCCACACACGUGGGCCUUAUAUCCUUCUCAGCUUUGAGAAAAGGACAGCAAAGCCCCAAGAGGCCAGGUCCUUGCACAGAUGACAUAGUUCACAAAGUGGAACCAGCUUUUCUGGCUCUAAAGAACAUGUUCUCCGUUCUGUGAUAACAUCUGUGGAGGUGUUCCUGUCUCCCUUUCUGUGUGACAAGUCAGGAAUGGCUCCCCAACUGCUGGACCUCGGCCUUGAAGACAUCCCAAAGCACGUGACAGCUCUGUGCUCCAGAUUAAACGCUUCCUGUCUGGAGGCAAGGGCUGCAGUGAAGUGCUUAAUAUCAAGACACAAUUGCUUGAUCUGAAAUGAAGGCUGUGGUGAUUUUCAGGCACUGGCACAUAGGAAGCUUUGCUAAUUGACACUUGUGGUUUGUUCAAAAACAACAAGGAUGUGCUUCCCCUGCCAGACAGCAUAAACAAAUUGUCGUUGUAUUCUUGUGUAUAUGUGUGUAUUGUUCCUACAUGGACCCCCAUCUGCCCCCAGGUGCCCCCAUGUGCAUGCAUGUGGAGACCAGAGGUUGACAUCCAGUAUCUUCCUUGAUCAUUCUCCACCUUUCUAUGCUGAGGAAAGGUCAUUCCCUUGGACCUAGAGCUUACCAAUUAGAUUAGUCCAGCCAGCCAGCUUUGAGGUCCCCCCUCUGCAGGCGUCUGCAUGGGGGAGGGCUGCAGGUUCCAGCUCUGCACCUCAAACACCUCCAGAGCCACCCCCAGCUCCUGUGCUCUGUGGGCUCCCUAGAAGGGAAGCUCUGCUCCUUGUUAAAGCCUCCACUCCCCACACCGUUCGCUGUAUCCAUUACUUGUUGCUCAGACAGAAGCAGCUUAAGGAAGGGAGAGGCCAUUUUGGCUCAUAUUUUGAGGAUAUAGUCCAUCGUGGCAGGGACAUCCUGGUGACAGAAUCUUGAGGCAGCUGGUCAGUUUCAGUGCAUAGUGGAGAAGCACAAAAAGGCGAGUGCUGUACUCAGUUUUGUUCCCCCUCUUCUCCUCAGUCAGGGACCUGGGACAUGGAAUGGCAUCACCUACCUCAUUACCAUGAGCCCAGUCUAGAGACUCUCUCUUCUCAGGCAGACCCAGAAGUUUGUCUCCUAGCUGAGUCCAGAUCCCAUCGAGUUCACAAAUCAGUAUUAACCACCAUAGCUGCAAGAAGUCCAGCCUUUUGAAGAUCUCCUGAAGUGUCCGCGUAUGGUGGCCAGAAGCUGAGUCUAACACUGGCUGAUCCUGAGGGGCUGUCCUGACAGAGUCAGCUCCUCCUGCACAGGGCAUGACUUGCUCAGCAGAGCUGGGGACAGGUCUCACAUUCUGGACCUGUUGACAGUCAAGGGCCCAUUGCACUAUUCAUAGUUUAAACUGGAAAUAUUAACAUAAGUUAGCUUGGGUAGAGACCAAUCUCUACCUUCUUCACCAUUUACAAGUCUGUAAAUAGCUGAUAAAUGUGGCUGAUGAAACAGCAACACAGGUGCCAGGAUGGUUCUUAUGGUGAUGUGAUGUGUGCCAAUAUGUACCAUAGAAAGAAAAGACUCUCUUGUAUUCUUUCUUUUAUUGGAUACUUUAUUUACAUUUUAAAUGUUAUCCCCUUUUUCCGUUUCCCCUUCAGAAUCCCCCUCCCCUCCCCUUCCCCUGCUUCUAUGAGGGUGCUCCCCCACUCAUCCACCCACUCCCUCCCACACUGAGGAAUCGAGCCUUGGCAGGACCAAGGGCCUCGCCUCCCAUUGAUGCCUGACAAGGUCUGAUUCCAGACUGAGGAAAUGCAAGAAACAAAAAUGUGCAACAAAAUGUCAAAUGUCAUAGGUCUCCCUUCUCCACAGCACCCCAUUGUUAUGGAAAGGCAGGUCCCUGAGAACUUCCUGUACUUGAUGUCAGUGGAAGCGGAGCUGAAGACCAACCAUGAGGAAGGAGAGCACACCACUCCCAUCAUGCAUUCAGACUCCCAUUGUCCCAAGACUCACAGUAAAGAGAAAGGACUGACCAGAUCAGUCAGAUUAAAGGACUCAGUCAAAACCAAAGGGAAGGGCUAAAUGUGGCCAGAACAUAAGGAGGCUGAGGCAGGAGGACUGUUACAAGUUCAAGGACAACCUGGUCUACAUGAGUUCCAGGAUUAUAUAGAGAGAUCAUACCUUUAAAAAAAAAAAGCCAAGGUGAAAGAGAAGGUGCUUUCUCAGCCUGAGGGCCCACUGUGACUCCUGUAUGCUUAGGCCCUUCCCACACACCUGCAUUGACCUUUUGGACUUGGCAAGGCAGUCAUUUCAAUUCUUAUCAGUGAGGAGGCCAAGUCAUUUAAGUCAUACAGAAAACUGCAUAAUUAUGGGCAUGCGCUUAUAGGUUGACUUAAAGUCUGUGUUACUUGGGUAUGGUAGCACAAGCCCGUAAUUACAAGUUCUUUCUAGGCUACUUAGUAAGGACCCCCAUCUCAGAAAAUAAAACCUAUCCAGUCCUUACUCCAAUCACUGUGUUCACGCAAGCACGUACACACCCAUGCAUACAUGCGGCUGCGGCAAACCGAGUGGCCUGGACAGAGGCAGCAUAAUGUCACCUACUGUAGGAGUGAGUUCAGGCUGCAUUAUUUAAACCCUGCCACUGUAGUUGUGUGCCAGUGAAUGACUACACUUGCCAUCUGUGAAAUGGGUUAAUACCAGAACUUCCACAAAGCCAUUGCAAGGCAUAAAUCUUAGAUGAAAUACAACGCAUUCCAUAGCCAAAUAAAUACUAUUUCUGGAAUCCUCCCAUGAGGGCGGUAUUGUAAAUGAUUCAGGCAGAGCAGUCUGGGGCACUGGUGUAAAAGCCUCAACUUCCAGCAGAUUCUUCUUUAAUAAGACUCGUCAGAGUAUAUGCUUGGCAAUGGGAGAAGACCUACAUUUCAAAUACUGUGGGAACCGGUACCUGUAGGCAAAGGGUUUACAGUAAACCCAGCACAAGGCUCUGCGAGACACACUGCUGUCGUGGAAACGGGGGCAGAGAAAGACUCAUGAAAUCCUGAGCUUGUAACAGCGACUGCAGUGCCUUCGUGACCUUCUGUGUGCAAGUUUCCAAGGAAAAGAAUAGCUUUUCUUCAAAGCCUCACCAUCAGAACGGCAUCAGAGCAGAAGGGGCCCAGCCUUAGAAAUCCCAUUUGAGAGCCAGCGUGGAGUCCUGUGGCUGUUUUCUACUGCAAACUGAUGUAUCCUGGGUCAUUAUGCUAAUCACAGUGAUUAAAUGACUAUAUACUUCACUUGGUGCCACACUCCUAUAAUUCUAACUCCUGGGGCAGCUGAAGCAGGAAGAUCAGGCCCCGGAAUUCAAGGCCAGUCUGGGCAGCACAAUAACAUUAUGUCUCUAAAACAAAAAUAAAACUGUUGAAAAUUUUUUCUCAGCUCUAGUAUUACAACA